GACAGAGGGGGCAAGCGUUGCUCGGAAUUACUGGGCGUAAAGGGCGCGUAGGCGGGAUGGCAAGUCGGUCGUGAAAUCCCUCGGCUCAACCGAGGAACGUCGAUCGAUACUGCUGUUCUUGAGGAUUGCAGAGGAGACUGGAAUUCCCGGUGUAGCGGUGAAAUGUGUAGAGAUCGGGAGGAACACCGAUGGCGAAGGCAGGUCUCUGGGCUGACACUGACGCUCAUGCACGAAAGCGUGGGGAGCAAACAGG
rnacentral:rRNA from 1 species